CCGACGGGUGAGUAACACGUAUGCAAUCCACCUGUAACAGGGGAGUAACCCGGAGAAAUCCGACUAAUACCCAUAAUAUGGGCGCUCCGCAUGGAGAGUCCAUUAAAGAGAGCAAUCUUGGUUACAGACGAGCAUGCGCUCCAUUAGCCAGUUGGCGGGGUAACGGCCCACCAAGGCGACGAUGGAUAGGGGUUCUGAGAGGAAGGUCCCCCACAUUGGAACUGAGACACGGUCCAA
rnacentral:rRNA from 1 species